rnacentral:rRNA from 1 species
ACGCUGGCGGCGUGCCUAAUACAUGCAAGUAGAACGCUGAAGCUUGGUGCUUGCACCGAGCGGAUGAGUUGCGAACGGGUGAGUAACGCGUAGGUAACCUACCUCUUAGCGGGGGAUAACUAUUGGAAACGAUAGCUAAUACCGCAUAAAAGUCGACAUUGCAUGAUGUUGACUUGAAAGGUGCAACUGCAUCACUAAGAGAUGGACCUGCGUUGUAUUAGCUAGUUGGUGAGGUAACGGCUCACCAAGGCGACGAUACAUAGCCGACCUGAGAGGGUGAUCGGCCACACUGGGACUGAGACACGGCCCAGACUCCUACGGGAGGCAGCAGUAGGGAAUCUUCGGCAAUGGACGGAAGUCUGACCGAGCAACGCCGCGUGAGUGAAGAAGGUUUUCGGAUCGUAAAGCUCAGUUGUAAGAGAAGAACGAGUGUGAGAGUGGAAAGUUCACACUGUGACGGUAACUUACCAGAAAGGGACGGCUAACUACGUGCCAGCAGCCGCGGUAAUACGUAGGUCCCGAGCGUUAUCCGGAUUUAUUGGGCGUAAAGCGAGCGCAGGCGGUUAGAUAAGUCUGAAGUUAAAGGCUGUGGCUUAACCAUAGUACGCUUUGGAAACUGUUUAACUUGAGUGCAGAAGGGGAGAGUGGAAUUCCAUGUGUAGCGGUGAAAUGCGUAGAUAUAUGGAGGAACACCGGUGGCGAAAGCGGCUCUCUGGUCUGUAACUGACGCUGAGGCUCGAAAGCGUGGGGAGCAAACAGGAUUAGAUACCCUGGUAGUCCACGCCGUAAACGAUGAGUGCUAGGUGUUGGGUCCUUUCCGGGACUCAGUGCCGUAGCUAACGCAUUAAGCACUCCGCCUGGGGAGUACGACCGCAAGGUUGAAACUCAAAGGAAUUGACGGGGGCCCGCACAAGCGG